GUGGGAUUUGCCUAGGGUGUUACAAAUUGGAACGAUACAGAGAAGAUUAGCAUGGCCCCUGUGCAAGGAUGACACACACAAAUCGAGAAAUAGUCCAAAUUUUU